rnacentral:rRNA from 1 species
AUUGAACGCUGGCGGCAUGCUUUACACAUGCAAGUCGAACGGUAACAGGUUAAGCUGACGAGUGGCGAACGGAUGAGUAAUGCAUCGGAACGUGCCCGGUCGUGGGGGAUAACGCAGCGAAAGCUGCGCUAAUACCGCAUACGAUCUGAGGAUGAAAGCGGGGGACCGUAAGGCCUCGCGCGAUCGGAGCGGCCGAUGUCAGAUUAGGUAGUUGGUGGGGUAAAGGCUCACCAAGCCAACGAUCUGUAGCUGGUCUGAGAGGACGACCAGCCACACUGGGACUGAGACACGGCCCAGACUCCUACGGGAGGCAGCGGUGGGGAAUUUUGGACAAUGGGCGAAAGCCUGAUCCAGCAAUGCCGCGUGCAGGAAGAAGGCCUUCGGGUUGUAAACUGCUUUUGUACGGAGCGAAAAGGUCUCCUCUAAUACAGGGGGCUCAUGACGGUACCGUAAGAAUAAGCACCGGCUAACUACGUGCCAGCCGCCGUAACAC